UUACGGCCAUAUCACGCUGAAAUACCGGUUUUCGUAAGAUCACUGAAAUUAAGCAACGUCAAGCUUGGUUAGUACCAAGAUGGGUGACUGAUUGGGAAAACCAGGUGCUGUAAG